rnacentral:lncRNA from 1 species
ACAGUCAGGGCCAGGGAGGAGCAGAAUCCUCAGAGGAAGAUGUGGAUCCUCUCCCAGACAGCCGGGAGGCAGGUGGGACACAGGGAGGAGCAGAUCCUCACUCAGACAAAGAUGGGGAUCCUGCCCUGGGUGGAGGGAGGAGCAGCAUCCUCACUCAGCCAAAGAUGGGGAUCCUCUUGGGACGGCCUGGAGGCAGAUGGGGCACAGGGAGGAGCAGAAUCCUCAGAGGAAGACGCGGAUCCUCCCUCAGACAAAGAUGUGGAUCCUCCCUCAAAGAUGUGGAUCCUCCCUCAGACAAAGAGGCGGAUCCUCCCUCAGACGAAGAGGCGGAUCCUCCCUCAGACGAAGAGGCGGAUCGAAGAGGCGGAUCGUCUCGCGGAUGGAAGGAGGAAGGAGCAGAUCCUCAGACAAAGAUGUGGAUCCUCUCCUGGAUGGCCUGGUGGCAGAUGGGGCACAGGGAGGAGCAGAAUCCUCCCUCAGACGAAGAUGUGGAUCCUCCCUCAGACGAAGAUGUGGAUCCUCCCUCAGAGGAAGAUGCGGAUCCUCCCUCAGACGAAGAUGUGGAUCCUCCCUCAGAGGAAGAGGCGGAUCCUCCCUCAGACGAAGAUGUGGAUCCUCCCUCAAAGAUGCAGAUCCUCCCUCAGACGAAGAUGUGGAUCCUCUCGCGGAUGGCCUGGCGGCAGAUGGGGCACACGGUCAGCGCCGUGCUGCAGUCCGGGCAGGAGCCGUGCCCGCACUGGAACACCAGCUUGAUCUGGUCGUCGAUGCAGAUGGGGCAGGUGAUCCUCUCCUCCAUCUGCCGGUA